AUGUCGCAGAUACUGCAUCAGGAACUGAUUGGAUAAUAAUCACUCACCAUCAGUUCCUAAUGCAUUGCCUUCA
ensembl:miRNA